rnacentral:rRNA from 1 species
CCAGGUUGAUUCUGCCUGACAUAGAUGCUAGUCUCGAAGACUAAGCCAUGCAUGCCCGUGAACCUUGUGGGGGAACGGCGAACGGCUCAGUAAUACUGCGAGGAUCUGCCCUUGGUGAGUGAUAACCACGGGAAACUGUGGCUAAGAGCUGAGGUUGAGACGCAGCCCUAUCAGCUUGUUGGCAGUGUAACGGACUGCCAAGGCGACGACGGGUGACGGGGGAUUGGGGUCUGACUCCGGAGAGGGAGCCUGAGAGAUGGCUCCCACGUCCAAGGACGGCAGCAGGCGCGGAAAUUGCCCACUCUCAUGCGAGGAGGCAGUUAGGAGACGUAAGCGGAAGGGCCCAGGACAGAAGUGUGGGCGAAGGCGAUUGGAGGGCAAGCUCGGUGCCAGCAGCCGCGGUAAUACCGACUCCAAGAGUGUCUAUGGUGGAUGCUGCAGUUAAAACGUCUGUAGUCUGGCUGGACCGAAAGUGCGGUGAUUGAGGCUGUGCGCGGUUCAACGGGUAGCGGAGCGGACAGGGGGCGCGGUAUAUGCGGGCGAGAGAUGAAAUGGCCAAGACCCUGCGUGGACCGACGGCGGCGAAGGCGGCGCCCUUGGACGGGUCUGUGGAUCAAGGACGAAGGCUGGAGGAUCGAAAGUGAUUAGAGACCGCUGUAGUUCCAGCAGUAAACGAUGCCGGCACUGCGUGGCGAAGGCUGCGCGGGGGCGAAAGCUUAGCGUUCGGGCUCUGGGGAUAGUAUGCUCGCAAGUGUGAAAAUUAAACGAAAUUGACGGAGCUACACCACAAGGAGUGGAUUGUGCGGCUUAAUUUGACCCAACGCGGGACAGCUUACCAGGGCCGCGCUUGGCGAAGACCGCAUGCGCGAGGCAGGCAGGAGUGGUGCAUGGUCGUUGGAAACGCAUGGGAUGGCCUCUGGCUUAACUGCCGGAAUGCGUGAGAUCCGCGGGACAGGUGCUUGCUGCACAGGAGGGAGCGGGCGAUAACAGAUCAGUGAUGCCCUCAGAUGCCCUGGGCUGCACGCGCAAUACAAUCCCGGUGUGCUGGAGAGAUUGGUCUCCGGGGUGCGGGACUGGCGGCUGUAAGGACGCCACGAACGAGGAAUUCCUAGUAACGGCGGCUCACUAAGCCGCGGUGAAUGUGUCCCUGUAGCUUGUACACACCGCCCGUCACUAUCUCAGAUGGCCGUCGCGGCGAAGGGAGCAAUCUCUGGGCCUCGGCGGCUAGAUAAGAUGUAAGUCGUAACAAGGUCGCGGUCGGUGAACCAGCCGCGG